CCAGAGCCCUAGAGAGCAGGGUGCUCCUUCAGACCCCAGGCCUUGUCUCUAGCCCUUCCUAAGUCAUCUCACUUCUCCCUACUUCUCACCUUCUGCCUUGGGUCCAACCUACUCCUAGGCUAUGAAGCCAUCCACCAGCCUUACCUAGGCACAGGCCAAUGCACUGCUGCCUGGGACAACAGGUCACUGCAGUAGUCCCUCAAUGACCAACAGCCGACCUUAAGUUCACCACCAGAUGCUUCAUGACAAACUCACAAAGGCAAUAGCCACAAAGGGCCAACAACUUUCCCUGGGCAUCUAUCCAAGCCUGUCUUCAUGGUCCCUUCCAACAGCUGGACGUAUUGGCUGCCAGAUGUCCCUGAAACCGCAGGCUGCCUUACCUAUGUCAGGUAAUUUGGCUUCCCUGAUUGACCCAUCACUGAGAUCAUCACUAGCAGAAGGGAUACUGUUCCAGAACUAGCAGCCUCCAUUUCCUCCUCCUUGGGAUGUGUGUUGUGAGAAGCUCAUGUCACAUAAAAGGCAACAUGUGGGCACCUAAGCAGAUAAUCCCCAACUGAACACCCACUCAACAACUAGUGCCAACUGCCAUCCAUGAGCAUGCACCAUCUUGGAUGUUCCAGCCCAGUCAAGCCCCAGAUGACUGCAGCUCCAGCCAACAACACACGGAACAGAAGAACCACCCAGCUGAGCCCAGCCAAUCCCUGAGCCCAGGGAAUUAUGAUGAUGAAACUAUACCCUAAAGAGUUAAUGAAACCAAUGACAGAAAUUACUGAGUUUGCAGGAUAACAGAUAAGAAAAAAAAACAACUUGCUGAGAUGCUGAAAUUCCCUCCUCUUCUGAGUAUUUUUUUUUUUUUAACUCACAAGUUUUUUAAAAAGUUGGCAGUGGGCUAAAAUUAAUUGGAACCAGGAUGACCAACUGGAGAUUGUGCACAAGUUUGCUGACAUCACAGCCCAAAUUUCCACCACAUAUUUCAUACUAACUUCUCCCAAAUUUGCAUAUGCAACCUAUGAAGUAACAUAAAGAAAUAAGUACACACACCCAAGGACUUUCCAGACUUCCCCUUUCCCUCCACCAACCACCUGCUAAUCCCAGUAUCUACCCCCUAAGCCUUUCCUAAU
rnacentral:lncRNA from 1 species